rnacentral:rRNA from 1 species
GAGCGAGGGGUCCAAGCGUUUGUUCGGAAGUUAUUGGGCGUAAAGCGGGUGUAGGUGGCUCUGUAAGUCAGGAGUCGAAAGCCCCGAGCUUAACUUGGGAAGUGCUUUUGAUACUGCAGAGCUUGAGUGUGGGGAGAGGAUCGUGGAAUUCCAGGUGUAGUGGUGAAAUACGUAGAUAUCUGGAGGAACACCGGGUGGCGAACGGCGGGCGAUCUGGCCCAACACUGACACUGAGACCCGAAAGGCGUGGGGAUCAAACAGG